UGCGUAGGCGGGCUAAUAAGUCAGUGGUGAAAUCUCUCGGCUCAACCGGGAAACUGCCAUUGAUACUGUUAGUCUUGAGUUCGGUUGCGGUAGGCGGAAUGUGUAAUGUAGCGGUGAAAUGCUUAGAUAUUACACAGAACACCAAUUGCGUAGGCAGCUUACUAGACCGACACUGACGCUGAGGCACGAAAGCGUGGGGAGCGAACAGGAUUAGAUACCCUGGUAGUCC
rnacentral:rRNA from 1 species